CAGUCCCGUGUUAAAUUAUGCUUUAUCUACAGUGGCCAUCCGAAAUCGCAACAGUAUCCUGCCUAUGCCUUGAUAUAAAAUUGAAUAAUCCCAAAUUUGAAGAAUGGAUUUAAACAUUAAUAAAACAGUAGAUCUGCUACGACAAGCUGUAGUUGCAUUAGAAGAAGCGAGCGUCACACCAAGAGAAACUGCAAGGAGACCUGCUGCCAAUGAUCCUGGAUCAUCUUGUGCCGAUGGUGAAAUCAGGAGACUAUUAACCAACACUUCUACUACUAGCACCCCUAUAACUAGGCCCACCGGUACAUCAUCUAGUGAAAUUCGCAGGCUUUUUACACCAUACAAUAGAUCAAACCCCAGACGAGUACCGGUAACUCAACAGAGACAGUCUAAGUGGUCGCAUAAAUUUUUAUGCUUGGCAGAUCCACAGCAGGAAACCACAGCACCGACCGCCACAGCAGAAUUCAUUAUCCAUGGCUAUGGAAGGGACGAUUUGGAAUAUUCAAUUACAAUAGCGAAGGUAGAACAACCAGACGAAUUUAUUGAUGUUAACUGUCCCGUUCCAGUUCUCAAAACUUAUAUUACGCACGAAUCGGAGGAAGAGCUUGUGACAAAGAUGGAAGAUAUCAUACAAAAGGAAACAGUUAUUACGCUUAAAAUGGUCGGCAAUAAAUUGGCAGAACUCUAGGAUGAUAUCGAGCUGUUAAAUGUAUAUAUGUAAUAUUAGUCAAAUUUUCAUUUCAUUAUAUAUUGUUGCUUUGUGUAUGUCCUAUUGUUUCGAUUUUCGUAUAGGACCCAUUUUAUUGUAGCUAGGUACCGGUUCAAUUAAUUAAAGAAUAUUUAUUCUUUAUUUUCCCAAACGGACCGGGUCGCUGAAACAUUCAUUGAGUCAUCAUAAUGACAUAAUGGACCACUGAAUGUUUAAGCGCACCUCUGAAAUAUGGAAGGUCACGAUCAAAUCUUUAAUGCAACACACUCAGUAAUUUGACUGUUCUUCCAUGUACCAAAAU